GCAAAAACACUGCUCUGUAACCAACUAGCUACUAGCUAAAACACUGCUCUGUAACCAACUAGCUAAAACACUGCUCUGUAACCAACUAGCUAAAACACUGCUCUGUAACCAACUAGCUACUAGCUAAAACACAGCUCUUUAACCAACUAGCUACUAGCUAAAACACUGCUCUGUAACCAACUAGCUACAACACUGCUCUGUAACCAACUAGCUAAAACACUGCUCUGUAACCAACUAGCUACUAGCUAAAACACUGCUCUGUAACCAACUAGCUACUAGCUAAAACACUGCUCUGUAACCAACUAGCUACAACACUGCUCUGUAACCAACUAGCUACAACACUGCUCUGUAACCAACUAGCCAACUAGCUAAAACACUGCUCUGUAACCAACAAGCCAACUAGCUAAAACACUGCUCUGUAACCAACUAGCUACAACACUGCUCUGUAACCAACUAGCUAAAACACUGCUCUGUAACCAACUAGCUAAAACACUGCUCUGUAACCAACUAGCUACUAGCCACUAACUGAAACACUGCUCUGUAACCAACUAGCUACUAGCCAACUAACUAAAACAUUACUCUAUAUCCAACUAGCUACUAGCCACCACACUGCUCUGUAACCAACUAGUCACCACACUGCUCUGUAACCAACUAGCUACUAGUCACCACACUGCUCUGUAACCAACUAGUUACUUGUCACCACACUGCUCUGUAACCAACUAGCUACUAGUCACCACACUGCUCUGUAACCAACUAGUUACUUGUCACCACACUGCUCUGUAACCAACUAGCUACUAGUCACCACACUGCUCUGUAACCAACUAGUUACUUGUCACCACACUGCUCUGUAACCAACUAGCUACUAGUCACCACACUGCUCUGUAACCAACUAGCUACUAGUCACCACACUGCUCUGUAACCAACUAGCUACUAGUCACUACACUGUAGACUCUCUAUUGUCUAUUGUAAUCUGGUCUCCUGUUGUCUAUUGUAAUCUGGCCUUCUGUCAUGUAGACUCUCCUAUUGUCUAUUGUAAUCUGGUCUCCCAUUGUCUAUUGUAAUCUGGUCUGCUGUCAUGUAGACUCUCCUAUUGUCUAUUGUAAUCUGGUCUCCUAUUGUAAUCUCUAUUGUAAUCUGGUCAUCCUAUUGUAAUCAUACUGUAAUCUCUAUUGUAAUCUGGUUUGCUGUCAUGUAGACUCUCCUAUUGUCUAUUGUAAUCUGGUCUCCUAUUGUCUAUUGUAAUCUGGUUUGCUGUCUCUCUCCAGACUCUCCUAUUGUCUAUUGUAAUCUGGUCUCCUGUCCUGUAGACUCUCCUAUUGUCUAUUGUAAUCUGGUCUCCUGUCCUGUAGACUCUCCUAUUGUCUAUUGUAAUCUGGUCUCCCAUUGUCUAUUGUAAUCUGGUCUCCUGUCCUGUAGACUCUCCUAUUGUCUAUUGUAAUCUGGUCUCCCAUUGUCUAUUGUAAUCUGGUCUGCUGUCAUGUAGACUCUCCUAUUGUCUAUUGUAAUCUGGUCUCCCAUUGUCUAUUGUAAUCUGGUCUGCUGUCAUGUAGACUCUCCUAUUGUCUAUUGUAAUCUGGUCUCCCAUUGUCUAUUGUAAUCUGGUCUGCUGUCAUGUAGACUCUCCUAUUGUCUAUUGUAAUCUGGUCUCCUAUUGUAAUCUCUAUUGUAAUCUGGUCAUCCUAUUGUAAUCAUACUGUAAUCUCUAUUGUAAUCUGGUUUGCUGUCAUGUAGACUCUCCUAUUGUCUAUUGUAAUCUGGUCUCCUAUUGUCUAUUGUAAUCUGGUUUGCUGUCUCUCUCCAGACUCUCCUAUUGUCUAUUGUAAUCUGGUCUCCUAUUGUCUAUUGUAAUCUGGUCUCCCAUUGUCUAUUGUAAUCUGGUCUCCUAUUGUCUAUUGUAAUCUGGUCUCCCAUUGUCUAUUGUAAUCUGGUCUCCUGUCCUGUAGACUCUCCUAUUGUCUAUUGUAAUCUGGUCUCCUGUCCUGUAGACUCUCCUAUUGUCUAUUGUAAUCUGGUCUCCUGUCCUGUAGACUCUCCUAUUGUCUAUUGUAAUCUGGUCUCCUAUUGUCUAUUGUAAUCUGGUCUCCUGUCCUGUAGACUCUCCUAUUGUCUAUUGUAAUCUGGUCUCCUGUCCUGUAGACUCUCCUAUUGUCUAUUGUAAUCCCUUCCCCCUCUGUCCUCUCUAGGAGUUAUCUGUGAUGAAGCAGGUUCUGCUCAGUAUGAGGUCCAGAAAGACUGAACCCUUCCUGGAUCCUGCCGGGGCUGGGGCGGGGCUGGCCUUAAGCAGACCCAAAAACCUCAGCAGAACCACAGAGGAGGAUGAGCAGAACCCUCACAGACACAGACCCAAACCCACCGUGUUCACCAAUAAGGAAGCUCCUGAUUGGUACAGGAAAGUCAAGUUCCCGCCUGAAUGACCAAUGGCCUUCCAGGUGGUGCAGAGGGGAUGUGUGUGGACACUCCAUACUGGUUUUAUUUGCACUACUGUAUUGGUUGAUAGUUUAUAUGUGUAUGUUGUGCUGUACUGUUGUAAUCGGUUGACUUGCUAUGUUUUAUAUAAAAAUCUGUCAAAACUACA